rnacentral:tRNA from 1 species
GCCCGGAUGGUGGAAUUGGUAGACACGCUAGGUUCAGGUCCUAGUGGGCGCAAGCUCAUGCAAGUUCAAGUCUUGUUCCGGGCA